GGUUACCAAAUAACAGUGGUCAUCAGGAAAAUAUAGAUAUUAGAAACAAACUAUGGUACAUACUCUUUGAAUAUGAUUGAUGAGCCAGGGAAGCCUCUUGCUAGCAGCUCUUGCUUCUGCUCACUACAUACAUAAGAUUUAUUUGUACAAAUAGGACAGAGGACACCAGAUCCAUGCAGAAGACAGCCCAGGCGUCACAUCAGUUCUUCUGUCCUCACACAGGCA